UUACAGUUUUGUAAGUAAGAAUUCUAGAAGAGUGCAGCUGGUUUUUCAACUCCAGGUCUGACAAGGUCAAAAUCAAGGUGUCCUUUGGCCUGGGCUCUUAUCUGGAGUCCCUGAGGGAAGAUUUGAUGUUUAAUUCUUUUCCCUUACCAGACUGAAUGUUCCAAGGAGGCAAAAUGGCAGACUUUAACUGUUGACAUGACCUCCUUGGAACAUUCAGACUGAGAACUACCUGUAAUUGGAGCGAAAAAAAUCUUCUUUUGGAAACUCCUUAAGAUAAAGUCUGCCUUACUGCACCCUACUGAGGUGAGGAUUUCUUCAGAAGA
rnacentral:lncRNA from 1 species